ensembl:miRNA
GAGGUGGGAGGAUGGCUUGAGCCUGGGAGGUUGAGGCUACAGUGAGCGGAGAUCAUACCACUGCACUCCAGCCUGAGUGACAGAGUGAGACCCUGUCUC